UACGUAGGGUGCAAGCGUUAAUCGGAAUUACUGGGCGUAAAGCGUGCGCAGGCGGUUCGGAAAGAGAGGUGUGAAAUCCCAGGGCUUAACCUUGGAACUGCACUUCUAACUACCGGGCUAGAGUACGUCAGAGGGGGGUAGAAUUCCACGUGUAGCAGUGAAAUGCGUAGAGAUGUGGAGGAAUACCGAUGGCGAAGGCAGCCCCCUGAGAUAACACUGACGCUCAUGCACGAAAGCGUGGGGAGCAAACAGG
rnacentral:rRNA from 1 species